AGGACGAACGCUGGCGGCGUGCUUAACACAUGCAAGUCGAGCGGAAAGGCCCUUCGGGGUACUCGAGCGGCGAACGGGUGAGUAACACGUGAGCAACCUGCCCUCAGCUCUGGGAUAGCUCCGGGAAACCGGAAUUAAUACCGGAUAUGACCCUGACUGACAUCGGUCAGGGUGGAAAGGAUUCCGGCUGAGGAUGGACUCGCGGCCUAUCAGCUAGUUGGUGGAGUAACGGCCCACCAAGGCGACGACGGGUAGCCGGCCUGAGAGGGCGACCGGCCACACUGGGACUGAGACACGGCCCAGACUCCUGCGGGAGGCAGCAGUGGGGGAAUAUUGCGCAAUGGGCGAAAGCCUGACGCAGCGACGCCGCGUGGGGGAUGAAUGCCUUCGGGUUGUAAACCCCUUUCAGCAGGGACGAAGCGAGAGUGACGGUACCUGCAGAAGAAGCGCCGGCUAACUACGUGCCAGCAGCCGC
rnacentral:rRNA from 1 species